rnacentral:rRNA from 1 species
GCCGAAGCUGGCGGCGUGCCUAAUACAUGCAAGUCGAGCGAGCUUGCCUAUAGAAGUUCUUCGGAAUGGAAAUAGAUACAAGCUAGCGGCGGAUGGGUGAGUAACGCGUGGGUAACCUGCCCUUAAGUCUGGGAUACCAUUUGGAAACAGAUGCUAAUACCGGAUAAAAGCUACUUUCGCAUGAAAGAAGUUUAAAAGGCGGCGUAAGCUGUCGCUAAAGGAUGGACCUGCGAUGCAUUAGCUAGUUGGUAAGGUAACGGCUUACCAAGGCGAUGAUGCAUAGCCGAGUUGAGAGACUGAUCGGCCACAUUGGGACUGAGACACGGCCCAAACUCCUACGGGAGGCAGCAGUAGGGAAUCUUCCACAAUGGACGAAAGUCUGAUGGAGCAACGCCGCGUGAGUGAAGAAGGUUUUCGGAUCGUAAAGCUCUGUUGUUGGUGAAGAAGGAUAGAGGUAGUAACUGGCCUUUAUUUGACGGUAAUCAACCAGAAAGUCACGGCUAACUACGUGCCAGCAGCCGCGGUAAUACGUAGGUGGCAAGCGUUGUCCGGAUUUAUUGGGCGUAAAGCGAACGCAGGCGGAUUGAUAAGUCUGAUGUGAAAGCCUUCGGCUCAACCGAAGAACUGCAUCAGAAACUGUCAAUCUUGAGUGCAGAAGAGAGAGUGGAACUCCA